rnacentral:rRNA from 1 species
CCCUUAGAUGUUCUGGGCCGCACGCGUGCUACACUGAGUGGAUCAGCGGGUCAGGUUGCGCGAAAGCGUUUCCUAAUCUUUAAAUCCGCUCGUGAUGGGGAUUGACGGUUGCAAUUUUCUGUCAUGAACGAGGAAUACCUUGUAAGCGCGGGUCAUCAUCCCGCGCUGAAUACGUCCCUGCCCUUUGUACACACCGCCCGUCGCUCCUACCGAUUGAGUGGUCCGGUGAGGCUUUGGGAUCUGAGCGGAAAGAGCGUUUCGCUGUUUCUGCUCGGAAAACUCAGUCGAACCUUAUCAUUUCGAGGAAGGAGAAGUCGUAACA